GUGCCAGCAGCCGCGGUAAUUCCAGCUCCAGUGGCGUAUGCCAAUGUUGCUGCGGUUAAAAGGCUCGCAGUUGAAUGUCGGUUAAUAUACGCGUAGAGGUGCCGGGACGUUGCGAGCUUUGUUGCCUCGUGCAUCAUUGUGAGCCGUCUCUCCAAGUGCAUCUCUCGCGGGCUAACGAUUAGAUUGACGGCACAGAGUGUUGCUCUUUCACGCAAGUGUUCGGGCUUCGCUCACACGUGUCGUCGGUUGACACCUUGAGUAAAUCAGAGUGCUUAAAGCAGUCGUUGAAACACUACGGCUGCGACUUACCCUCUCGCGAGGCUAAAGUCGUAUGUCUAUGGUGACGUCGCAAGACGUUUGGACAUUGUCUUUGCUUUGCAUGGUACGUCGGAAGACGCCGUGUGAGUUGGUUGCGCUUACGGUAAGACAUACCUUCUGUGUGUGCGCGUGCACCAACAAGCACGGAAUGAUUUGACAGGGAUGGCUCGAAGGCAUUGGUAUUGCGGGGCGAGAGGUGAAAUUCUAUGACCCCCGCAAGACUUCCCGAAGCCGAAAGCGUCUGCCUAGGAACGUCCU
rnacentral:rRNA from 1 species